rnacentral:lncRNA from 1 species
CUGAGAGAGGAAGCUCAGUCUACGGGAUCCCUGAGUACUCCGGGAUGUGAGUAGGAGUCAAAGCCAUGCUGGAGACAAAGAGAUGCUGUAGUGCAGUGAAAAUCAGCUCAAGCCCUGCCUGCAUCCCCUCUGUGAAGUAAGAGACCUGCCAGCACUGGCUGCAGAGAGGCAAGUGAUGCUGCUUUGGGGUCUUGAGCAGCCAAGCUGUACUCUCAGGGGCCAAACUUCACACCACAUUUUGUAAUUUCAGAUACCAGGUGGCCUGAAGGUAUAUUAUGCUUAUUUUACAAGUUAGAAAUUGAAGCACGGAAGAAGAAAGUUCUAGAGUAUCCACACAUUUUGUAAGUCUAAACUGAAAUGUCUGAGAAUAAGGAUAAACAGAGAACUGAGUAUGCUUCAGAGUCCUGAGCCCCUGUGCUCUUCCAAGUAAUGGGGGUGAAGAGGUUUGAACAUUAACAAGAUGAUGAGGUUCUAGAAAGAGAGGAGAAGAGAACUGAGUCUUCACUGUUAGUCUGUGAGGGUCUGCACAAGGAAAAGUAUCUAGAAUUAAUUAAAUUUCCAGCUGUUUUAGAGGACUGAGUGCAAUUCAUACAUUUGCUGGGAAGGAGAGCUGCCAAAAGAUGAUAUUCUGUUUACAAGUGCAGCACAAAACCAAAAAUAACUGAGGGUUUUCUGAU